UAGACCCCACAGAAGAAAUUCAUAACAUAACAUACCCUUCGGGUUUAGUGUAGGCUAACUAACUUAACACCGAGUUACUGAACCUGCAUUCCACAUGUUUCGUGAGACCAAACAAGGACAGAUACAACUAGGAGAGAAAAUGGAAUAACAUGCAAUGCAAUGUCUCUGCAGUCCUUCUAUGAGUUCCUCCUCUUCAUGGUCCACCUUUCAGUUGAUCUUCCAGAGAAGGAUCUGGCCUAACACAAACCACUUGGGAUGGAUUCAUUUGGUUUCAUUUGCACAAACUAAAAUAAAAAAUAUUAAUUUAA